rnacentral:rRNA from 1 species
UACGUAGGUGGCAAGCGUUGUCCGGAUUUACUGGGCGUAAAGAGCGCGCAGGCGGUCGUUCAAGUCGCGUGUGAAAGCCCCCGGCUCAACUGGGGAGGGUCACGCGAUACUGAUCGACUCGAAGGCAGGAGAGGGAAGUGGAAUUCCUGGUGUAGCGGUGAAAUGCGCAGAUAUCAGGAGGAACACCGGUGGCGAAGGCGGGUCUCUGGGCCGAUACUGACGCUGAGGAGCGAAAGCGUGGGGAGCGAACAGG